GUAAUGCAAAAGCACCGUUGCAGUCCUAUAUGUCCAUUCCUCGUUUUCCAAAUAUAUAUCAUUACUUGCCAUAAUUAAGAAAAAAAUCUAACUUUAAGCCGUCGAUAUUGUCAUUGAGUGGUCUUAUCUACAAAAUCAAGUGCUAACACGAAUUAACCUUGCAUUUGAAACAUACCAAGCCAUGCAGCAAGCCCAGCAAGAGUCCUUUUACCUCUAUAUUUACAUCUAUGUUUGAUUUACAUUCCAGAGAAAACCCAUUGCAGUGCUUGUCAGUUUCGCAAAGAAGCCAAUUCAGUGUCUGGGAUAAAUUGAAUGUAAUGUGAUUAUUGAUUGAGAAUGUGUCAGCCAAACUCGCCGACAUCGAGUGAGGGACGUUUCCUUGUCAUUGGUAGUAAAGGGGUUGGAAAAUCAGCUGUGACAGUACGCUACCUAACGAAAAGGUACAUCGGAGAAUACCAGUCCACGGCAGAAUUAACUUACACUCAAACCCUAAAACUAGACGAAGAUGUGAAAGGAUCGACGUUUGAGAUACGCGAUACACUUGAACGAGGAAAUAUUUCGUUAUACGAGAGUAGUAUUCGCUGGGCUGAUGGUUUUCUCGUGGUUUACUCCAUCACAGACAGAAACAGCUUCAACAACGCCAUCCAGCUAGUGGAAGCAGUGUAUGACGGGAAGGGGACGGAUGAAGUGCACGUGGCUUUGAUAGGCAAUAAAACCGAUCUGGAACACUUUAGAAUAGUGACUAAAGAAGAAGGAAAGUCAGCAGCCGCGCAGUUGGGUUGUAUGUUCUUCGAAAUAUCAGCCGCCGAAAACUACGAAAACGUUCAAGUGGCUUUGAACUCGUUGUUCCGUAAAGUAACCAUCCACAAGAAACUGAUGAUGAACGGGAAAGCGAAAAGGAAAACCUCUAGCUCCGAAAAGAAAAAAUACGGCUUUGGAAAUGGGUUAUUUAAACGAAAAAAUGAAAGGAAAAGUGUGCAGCGAAAGUUUGAUUUCAUCUGAAGCAAGUUACUUUUGAUGGACUCAUUCUUUCCCAGAAUCCUCAAGAAUUGACACGUGACCUUCGAUCGACUCCUUCAUACCCAGGCUCUUUCAUUCGUAACCAUGCUCCUGAUGGGAUUGUCACGUGACCUUCGAUCGACUUCUUCAUACCCAGGCCCUUUCAUUCGUAACCAUGCUCCUGAUGGGAUUGACACGUGACCUCGAUCGACUCGUACUAUAAGCACACAGAAUCCAUUCGUACCCAACCUUUUCUCGCGAUCAUAUGCACACUCAUUCGUAAUCAAGCUCUUUACUGAGUUAAACACCGACUUUAUUUAUCAUUUCUUAUACAAAUGUUGCUGAGUCAGACUUCGAAAAAUAAGGAAGCAACAAUUGUUGACGUAAUUUUCUUGAAAGUUCAUUCUUACAAAGACUUUUUCUUCGAAUUCUUACCAAGACAAGUAAAAAAAAAGAUUGAAAAUAAAUACUUGACAGACUGAUUAAACGAGAUUUUGUCGAAAAAAUGCAAGAUGUUUGCGGUAAUAUAUUCAAACUGGUUAAACAGGUAAAGCAAGUAGCAGGCGUGAAAAUAAAAACAAGUGAAGCUGGUUAAGCCUGUUUUCCAAAUGUGCGAAUUGUUAUCAAAAAAGGAUGAAAGAUCGUGAAGGUAGUUGGACAAACUGGUCAAACUUGUUUCAUAAGUACAAGGAUUAGUCGGAGCAGUCAAACCUGUUUUACAAGUAUGCAGUAAUGUGUGAAAAAAGUUAAUUUAGAAGUUUUGCGAAUAAUAUCCUUUCGAAGUGUAAUAUUUCAGUUAUUCGAUUUCAUCUUUCCCAAAGCGUUCCAAACCAUCUGAUCGAACUUAAGCACAGUCGUCAUGGUAGCCUCUCGGUCAAGACGGAGAAGUUCCUCAACAGGUGAAGGAAGUUUGUCGUUUUCCUGCUCAACGUCCCUUGGGGCAGUUUUCUGGAAUAUUCUAGCAUCUUCCUUUUCAUGCGCAACAUUAUUUUGAACGUGUCUCCUUCUUCGUCCAUGCUUUCGUCUUUUCUUCUGCUUCUUCUUUCUCUUGUUCUUUCGUCUUCCGCCUCGUGGUUCCUCGACAUCCUCGUCCAAGCCUUCUUCCUCCUCGCUGUAAACUUCUUGUUUUGGUAGCUGGUGAGCAUUGGCCCCGAGUUGGUUCUCACUGAAAAGAAAAAACGGUUACUAAGACUUGAAAAUACCUCUUGUCAUUCUCGUGAGCCAGUUACAUUUAGUUAGCGGACCACGCACAAGGCGCAUGAGUAAAUAUCUAGGGUUGCAUCAAGAUGGUCACGGGAUGCCUGUCACCCACUUUAUUAUUAUGCAAAUGUAUUUUGGGUGAGGAUAACAUUCAAGUUUUGGAUGAGAGGGAAACAUUCCACGAUAGGACAGGAAAUGACGUCAAGGGAAACUAAGCAAUAACGAAUUAGCACGGCACGGAAUAUAUAAGCUUAUUAACUUACUAUGCGUUGGAUUGUCUAGUGUCUUGUAGUGUUGCUACAGCUGCAAUGCUUGCCAAGAUGGAUCUGGCUGAACUAAUUGAAAUAAAAAUAAAAGUAUAAGUUGUAAAA
rnacentral:misc_RNA from 1 species